rnacentral:rRNA from 1 species
UACGGAGGGGGCUAGCGUUGUUCGGAAUUACUGGGCGUAAAGCGCACGUAGGCGGCUUGUUAAGUCGGGGGUGAAAUCCUGGAGCUCAACUCCAGAACUGCCUUCGAUACUGGCGAGCUUGAGUUCGGGAGAGGUGAGUGGAAUUCCGAGUGUAGAGGUGAAAUUCGUAGAUAUUCGGAGGAACACCAGUGGCGAAGGCGGCUCACUGGUCCGGUACUGACGCUGAGG